CGGUGGAUCAAUCACUCAUCUCAGGACACUCUGCAACGCUCCUUCUACCCCAAGCGGCCUAGAUAAUGCACAUAAGCUGAACAUCUCAACGGUUUGCUUUAUUUACUUCCAGAAAUGGAUUUGUUAAGAACAGUUUCGCUUUCAUUCUUAAUCCUAGCACAUGUAAUUUUUUUGAACUUCCUGAACGAGUUCCCAAUUAGACUAAUGGGAAGAUGCUUCUUGCUUAUUUUGGUUCAACGAUUAAAAAACGAACAUAAGAUUUUCUUCAUUAUGAAUUUGUAGAGGAAGAUCAAAGUACCGGUGUAGAGCUUCCUAUUAAUGUCAGUGGGGAGAAUCGCUUUGGUACUAUACUAUGGCACCAAACAUAGUCCUCGCGUCAAGAGUGUAAUACAUUUGAUGCUUCAAAGGUGCAAUGAAAUUUUAUCAUUUGAAUUGAGAAACAACUAAACUUUGUCGGGAUGAUUUCGUGAUGAAUGGGUACGUGGUAUUCUAGGAAGGUCAUGGCUACGUUUAAAUUGAACACACCCUUUCUUAUGAAAAUCAAUGGCUUAUCAUGGGUUCUUUGUCAGCAUCGAAGUACCAAUAUCCAGAACCAAUAGUGAGGGAAGGUGGGAUCAAUUUCAACUUAGCUAUGCCCUUCGUAGGAUACCAUGUACCCAAUUCAUUUGGAAUUCCUGAGACGAAGUUUAGUUGUCGAAAAAGUUCUGUGUUCACUAGUCAAAUGAUAAAAUUUCAUUGUAACUUUGAAACAUCAAAUUAUUACACUUCUCGUUAUGUUUGGUGCCAUAGUGCGCCCCACUGAUAUUAAUAGGAAGCUCUACGCCUCUACAUCGAUUCUCCUCCACAAAUGGUUUGACAUAUACAAAAUCGCAAACUCCAUUGUAGUCUGUUUAAAAGGCAUUAAUGAUGGAAUAUCAAGCAAUCGUAAUGAUGAAAAUCGUAUGUUCAUUUUUUUAUUCGCCUGACCAAAAUCAUCUUCCCAUUAGUGUAAUUUGUUGAAGUAGAACAUAGCCCCCACCACAGACAUACACAGACAACUUCUUGCGUUUGUUCCUGCAUCUUACCUUGCAAGCCAGGCUGUGGGUCCUCUCACAUGGAAAACCAUGAGCAAGGACUAUAGCAAGAAUUGAAGGGGUGCACUUUGAUUCAAUGACAAGGCUGAAACUUCCAAGGUACAUCUUCUCAGGACUCAAUGGUAUCAUGCAAAUUGGAUGUAGAUGCUCAGAAUUAGGGAAAUUUACAUAAAUAGCCAAAGCUGAUAGGUGGUUUCACUUUUUAACCAUUUUCUAACUCAGAUUCACUUUUUAGCCAAUCCUUAUGCAGAAGGCUUGCACAUAUGCUUAAGUAUUGGUUUUCGGCAAAAAAUAAAAAGGAGGUUUCUACUUAAGGAUUUCACUUCCUAUGUAAGGAUUCCACUUUUUCGUAAGGAUUCUCUUUUUUUGUUUGCCAAAAACCAAUCCUUACGCCUAUGCUUGAACGUUCUACUUAAUAAUUGGCUACAAAGUGAAUUUAGGUCAAAAAGAUGGCUAAAAAGUGAAACUCUAUUUGCUGCUUGUUUAUUUCUAUCAAUUUCCCUCAAAAUUAUUGUCAGUUGUGACUUUGUGUCGACUAUCGCUAUGCUAGUUAUAGUUUCACCUUAUGCUACAAAUA